rnacentral:rRNA from 1 species
AGCGAACGCUGGCGGCGUGCUUAACACAUGCAAGUCGAACGUGAACGGGCUUCGGCCUUAGUAAAGUGGCGUACGGGUGAGUAACACGUAGGUAAUCUACCUUACAGUUUGGAAUAACCUGCCGAAAGGCGGGCUAAUACUGGAUAGAGCGAUGGGAAUCGUAAAGAUUCUUUCGGGAAAGGGAGCCUGAUAAGGGCCUUCGCUGUAAGAUGAGCCUGCGUCUGAUUAGUUAGUUGGUGGGGUAAUGGCCUACCAAGACGAUGAUCAGUAGCUGGUCUGAGAGGAUGAUCAGCCACACUGGAACUGAAACACGGUCCAGACUACUACGGGAGGCAGCAGUGGGGAAUCUUGCGCAAUGGACGAAAGUCUGACGUAGCCACGCCGCGUGAGUGAAGAAGGCCUUCGGGUUGUAAAGCUCUGUCGGAUGGGACGAAAAACGCUAAGUUUAAGAGAUGUAGCGUCUGACGGUACCAUCAAAGGAAGCACCGGCUAACUCCGUGCCAGCAGCCGCGGUAA